rnacentral:lncRNA from 1 species
CUCAGAGGCAGCAGAUGAAGAGAUCUUGGUGGUUGUGGCCAAGGGUUAUUUUGCUUGACUCUUGGGGGAUCUACCGCAGAGAGAGAUGCAGGUGUAAGCAAUCACUCCAUCCAGUCAGCCCAAGAGAGAAGUAGUGAGUCCAUGGUGAUGCCCAGGAAAUGACUGCAGAAUAACAAAAUGCAUGUUCAGAAGGGACAACAGCAGGAGGAGGAAAAAGGGCUAUUAGCCCAAUGCUGGUAGAUCUUGGAUAUUGUUGGAAGACUGUGUUUCCUGAAAGACUGUGGUAACUUCUUAACUUGUUCAAACAGAUUGGCAUAAAUCAUGAGCUUUCCAAAGUCAAAGGUGCAAGCUGUCUCUAAGUAUCUACAUCUUGUAAUGAUUUGAAAAAAAUUAGAACUAGAGCUUUCUAGAAGACACCUUCUCAUAUAUUAUCAAAAGACUUUACUCAAUGUAUUUUUAAAUACAAAUGAUCACCACAAAGCUCAGUGAUCCUAAUGAGAAACUGGAGUUUCCAAAUUAAUAGAUUAAUAAAUGUUUUUAGAAGAAAAUGGAAAAAGCCCAAAGGAAUUAUUAAAAGUAGUAGUCUUUUCUUAACAUAUUUUAAAUAUUUCAACUGUAUUAAAAGACAGACCCAUAAUUCUUAUGUCACACUAGCUUCUAAAAAGAGGGAUGUCAAUCACAAAGAUUAAGGACUCUCUAUACUGAAAACAGAGAACUUCCCAGAAGCAGAGAUCCUCUCGAAUCUACUUGUCUUUGAAAAACACGGGGUAGAUUAAUAUAUCCUCUUUCUCUCCUUUUUUUUUUUUGUUUUAUUUGCUUGUCAAAAGAUUAUUUAGUGGCAUUUAUUCCCCUCCUGCACUGCUCCCACUACUCAGUCCCCAGCUCUCAGCCCUUCCACAGUCUCUCAAUCACAAACAAAAGGCACAAUGGAGAAACUAAUAAAAGAACUAUGUUACUGUUCUCUGGAAUAAAUCAAAAUUUAUAUGUCCUAAGGAUAGAAGGCUCAGAUUAAAAUAUGUUUGAGACUCAGAGGAUUUACAAUAUGUUUGGCAUUCCAGUUUCAGAGAGAAAAUGGACCAAUAUGUUAGGGGAAUACUGAGGAUAUUUUAGCAGUUAUCGUCUCUCAUGCUUUUCUUCAUGAGUGUCAGUGUGAGAAAGCCAGGGAAAGCUGCUGUCCGUGAUAACCACGGAAAAGGAAAAAAUAUUCCCCAUGUUUCAAAACCAAUUCCCCGACUCUAGUCCUAAAGUGAUGGGGAACUAAGCACAACUGAGAGCCUCAGCAGUUUGUUACCUGAUAUAAAGAGAAGAUACCAUCCUAGUUCACGGCCUUUUUCUAUGUACAACUUUAAGGCAACUAACUUCUCCACUUUAAAAGUUAUGGCCAUAAAGGACUAGUUAACAGUUCACUGGAACCACCUUGCCUUUACUACCAACAGUAACAAAGUAUUUCAGUAACUUAAGGCCUAAAUAAAAUAAAAGUUAGCCACUUUAAAUAAUACUGUGGAUAUUUGUAAUAGAAUAAGUUUGAAAAGGCAUCCUUCAAACAGUCAUGGCUAGGUUUCCCAUCUCAAUCAGGGUUAAUUUAAAGUUUGCAAUCUAGGUAGAGAAGUCACUGAAUUAAAAAGAAACAUAUUUUAAGUUUGCUGUAAUUUUUUUCCCAGGAAAAAUUGGCAUCUACCUAACAACUGCAUUGUAGUCUCUUCGUGUAUAAUGGCUUUGUAGUGUAAGCAUUUAAUGUUUGCCUAUAUAGCACAACUCUAAGCAUUUUCAUUUCUUAAAUGUCAUUAAAUUAUCAGAGUGAUUGUAAUGCAACAUUUCAUGGUACAGUAACUAGAUGAAAUGCCAUAUUAUCUGCCCCAAGAACAACUGAUAGUGCCCCUUCCUGUUCAUUCAGCAAUUCACUUGCACAGUUUGCGUGGGAAAAAGAUGAUAGGUCAGUAUUAUGCAGUAUCUGUAAUUCUAAGGACCAUGGUUUAUUUAAUAGCACUGUCAGUCAAGAUCUAUGGCUUGAAGAAAUCUCAAGAGUUCAUUGUUAAUGCCACAGAGUUCAUAGGACAAUUUUCAGAAUAGUUACUUCCUUAUAAAUAGAAAAAUCUUGGGGUCAAUAAAUUGGUAUAUGUUACACUACAUUAAAAUCAUUUCUGCUAUAUCCGCUCUUGUCCCUACUUAUGUCAUUAAAAAAUUCACAUGAG